rnacentral:rRNA from 1 species
UACAGAGGGGGCAAGCGUUGUUCGGAAUUACUGGGCGUAAAGGGCGCGUAGGCGGCCUGCUAAGUCGAACGUGAAAUCCCUGGGCUCAACCCAGGAACUGCGUCCGAUACUGGUUGGCUUGAAUCCGGGAGAGGGAUGCGGAAUUCCAGGUGUAGCGGUGAAGUGCGUAGAUAUCGUAAGGAAGACCAGUGGCGAAGGCGGGUCUCUGGACAGUUCCUGACGCUGAGGCACGAAGGCCAGGGGAGCAAACGGG